GCGCACUCAUUUAGAUGCUUUCUUUUCACUCUCUCUCUUAGAAUCCCCUACGCCUCCUUAUCAUACUCUUUUCAUCUUCUUCUUUCCUCCGUCUUACUAGAUCUCGUGCUGAGUGAUAUAAUUUAUUUGUUAAUUGAUGUUCAUUGAGUUCGAUUUACUGAUAAUUUCUUUUGUUUAUGUCACAGAUCUUUCUAAAACGAAAACGAAAUUAUAUAGAUCUUGAAUAUUGGAUUUAUUUAUCCAUUAAAAGUUUAGAUUUUAUUUUUAAGAUUUUUCUUUGUCUACAAUGAUUGAUUGUAGGGUGGUCAGGUAUUAAGGUUUUAUUUCUUCUCCCCUCUGUAUUGAUCUGUAUCUCUAUGUCUCUCCGUAUAAAAUGUUGUGGUGUUAGGAUUUUUUGAUUUUCUCAAUGUGUCUGAUUGUUUUCAUCUUCUUUGGAAUAAACAAAUUAUCAGGAACUAGAUCUGGAAUGAGUACGCUAUUAUCGAAUCAAAAUCAGAGCUAAAAUGCAAAUCAGGAUGAUACUAAGCUGCACCACUAUGAUUAUUGUUUAUAAGCUUCUCCAGUGAUUACAAAUCAGGAUGGAUGGUGCUUCAGCUGUGUCCUUGGGUUUUGAUGGGAUUAUAAUUUUAGUUUUACUUUUAAGAAAUUGAAUUUCAUUUCUGUAAUUCUGUGUUGAUGGAGAUUGUAUUUUAUAUUAUUUCUAUAAAAAAAUAAAAAGUGGGAUUGUAAUUAUAUUUUUUCUUUUUCUUUGUAAAAUAAUGAUUAUGUAAAUUAAAUUUAUUAAAUAAUAAAGUUGACUACUUAA